rnacentral:rRNA from 1 species
AUGAUUCGUGGGACGUCCUGCCGGUGGUGGCGAGUCGAAGGUGUGCUCCCGUUGUGGUCUCCACUUCGGUUCUUGCGCGCCCGAGGCGGACCCCGAUGAAAUCCUACCGCGGUGCUCUUCGCCGAGUGUCGAGGUGGGCCGGCACGUUUACUUUGAACAAAUUAGAGUGCUUAAAGCAGGCCGGCUGCGCCUGAAUACUGUGUGCAUGGAAUAAUGGAAUAGGACCUCGGUUCUAUUUUGUUGGUUUUCGGAACCCGAGGUAAUGAUUAAUAGGGACAGGCGGGGGCAUUCGUAUUGCGACGUUAGAGGUGAAAUUCUUGGAUCGUCGCAAGACGGACCGAAGCGAAAGCAUUUGCCAAGUAUGUUUUCAUUAAUCAAGAACGAAAGUUAGAGGUUCGAAGGCGAUCAGAUACCGCCCUAGUUCUAACCAUAAACGAUGCCAGCUAGCGAUCCGCCGAAGUUCCUCCGAUGACUCGGCGGGCAGCUCCCGGGAAACCAAAGCUUUUGGGUUCCGGGGGAAGUAUGGUUGCAAAGCUGAACUUAAGGAAUUGACGGAAGGG